rnacentral:rRNA from 1 species
UACAUAAGGAGCAAGCGUUGUCCGGAAUCAUUGGGCGUAAAGGGCGCGUAGGCGGUUGUGAUAGUCAGAUGUGAAAUCCUCCGGCUUAACUGGAGAACUGCAUCUGAAACUUCAUAGCUAGAGUACAGGAGAGGGAAACGGAAUUCCCGGUGUAGAGGUGGAAUUCGUAGAUAUCGGGAGGAACACCAGUGGCGAAGGCGGUUUCCUGGCCUGAUACUGACGCUGAGGCGCGAAAGCGUGGGGAGCAAACAGGAUUAGAUACCCGUGUA